CAAUAGCUUAUAUUUAAGUUGUUGCGGUAAAAAAGCUCGUAGUUGGAUUUCUACCGAAGAUAGCCGGUCGGGUCUUCGACCUUGUAUCUGGUUUUGUCUUUGGUAUCCUCAUAGGGAACGUUUCUGCGCUUUAUUGCGUGGUGCGGUAUCUAUGACUUUUACUUUGAGGAAAUUAGAGUGUUCACGGCAGGCAAACGCCUUGAAUAUAUUAGCAUGGAAUAAUAACAUAGGAUCUUCGUCCUAUUUUGUUGGUUUCUAGGGCUAAGAUAAUGAUUAAUAGGGAUAAUUGGGGGCAUCUGUAUCAACGCGUCAGAGGUGGAAUUCUUGGAUUGCGUUGCGACAAACUACUGCGAAAGCAUUUGCCAAGGAUGUUUUCAUUGA
rnacentral:rRNA from 1 species